ACCUGGCUGGCUCAGUCAGUAGAGCAUGAAACUCUUGAUCUUAGGGUUAUGAGUUCAAGUCCCAUGUUGGGUG
rnacentral:tRNA from 1 species